UUGAGAGUUUGAUCCUGGCUCAGAACGAACGCUGGCGGCAUGCCUAACACAUGCAAGUCGAACGAACCCUUCGGGGUUAGUGGCGCACGGGUGCGUAACGCGUGGGAACCUGCCUUUAGGUUCGGAAUAACUCAGAGAAAUUUGAGCUAAUACCGGAUGAUGUCUUCGGACCAAAGAUUUAUCGCCUUUAGAUGGGCCCGCGUUAGAUUAGAUAGUUGGUGGGGUAAUGGCCUACCAAGUCGACGAUCUAUAGCUGGUCUGAGAGGAUGAUCAGCCACACUGGGACUGAGACACGGCCCAGACUCCUACGGGAGGCAGCAGUGGGGAAUCUU
rnacentral:rRNA from 1 species